GUAAGGAAUAUUGGACAAUGGAGGCAACUCUGAUCCAGCCAUGCCGCGUGAAGGAAUAAGGCCCUAUGGGUUGUAAACUUCUUUUAGACGGGACAAAACCCCUUUACGUGUAAAGGGUUGAUGGUACUGUCAGAAUAAGUCUCGGCUAACUACGUGCCAGCAGCCGCGGUAAUACGUAGGAGGCAAGCGUUAUCCGGAAUUACUGGGCGUAAAGGGCGUCUAGGUGGGACGUCAAGCGGGGUGUGAAAGCUCCUGGCUGAACUGGGAGAGUGCGCUCCGAACUGACGACCUAGAGGGCAGGCGACGGCGGUGGAAGUCCAGGUGGGGUGGUGAAAUGCGUAGAGAUCGGGAGGAACACCAGUGGCGAAGGCGGCCUCCGAGCCUGAACCUGACGCUGAAGCGCGAGAGCGUGGGGAGCAAACG
rnacentral:rRNA from 1 species